rnacentral:rRNA from 1 species
GAUGAACGCUGGCGGCGUGCCUAACACAUGCAAGUCGAGCGAUCUCUUCGGAGAGAGCGGCGGACGGGUGAGUAACGCGUGGGUAACCUGCCCUGUACACACGGAUAACAUACCGAAAGGUAUACUAAUACGGGAUAACAUACGAAAGUCGCAUGGCUUUUGUAUCAAAGCUCCGGCGGUACAGGAUGGACCCGCGUCUGAUUAGCUAGUUGGUAAGGUAAUAGCUUACCAAGGCAACGAUCAGUAGCCGACCUGAGAGGGUGAUCGGCCACACUGGAACUGAGACACGGUCCAGACUCCUACGGGAGGCAGCAGUGGGGAAUAUUGCACAAUGGGCGAAAGCCUGAUGCAGCAACGCCGCGUGAGCGAUGAAGGCCUUCGGGUCGUAAAGCUCUGUCCUCAAGGAAGAUAAUGACGGUACUUGAGGAGGAAGCCCCGGCUAACUACGUGCCAGCAGCCGCCGUAA